AACGUAGGUGGCGAGCGUUAUCCGGAUUUACUGGGCGUAAAGGGUGUGCAGGCGGGCUGUUAAGUGGUGUAUGAAAUAUCCCGGCUCAACCGGGAGAGGUUAUGCCAGACUGGCAGUCUAGAGAGCGAGAGAGGGACGUGGAAUUCCGGGUGUAGUGGUGAAAUGCGUAGAGAUCCGGAGGAACCCCAGAGGCGAAGGCGACUUCCUGGCCUGUUCUUGACGCUGAGGCGCGAAAGCUAGGGGAGCAAACGGG
rnacentral:rRNA from 1 species